rnacentral:rRNA from 1 species
AACGAACGCUGGCGGCAUGCCUAACACAUGCAAGUCGAACGAGACCUUCGGGUCUAGUGGCGCACGGGUGCGUAACGCGUGGGAACCUGCCCUUAGGUUCGGAAUAACUCCCCGAAAGGGGUGCUAAUACCGGAUAAUGUCUUCGGACCAAAGAUUUAUCGCCUUUGGAUGGGCCCGCGUUGGAUUAGCUAGUUGGUUGGGUAAAAGCCUACCAAGGCGACGAUCCAUAGCUGGUCUGAGAGGAUGAUCAGCCACACUGGGACUGAGACACGGCCCAGACUCCUACGGGAGGCAGCAGUGGGGAAUAUUGGACAAUGGGCGAAAGCCUGAACCAGCAAUGCCGCGUGAGUGAUGAAGGCCUUAGGGUUGUAAAGCUCUUUUAACCGGGAUGAUAAUGACAGUACCGGGAGAAUAAGCUCCGGCUAACUCCGUG